GGUGAACGUUGGCGGUGCGUCUAAUACAUGCAAGUCGAGCGAGGCUUCGAGCCGAGCGGCAGACGGCUGAGUAACACGUUGGUAACUACCACAAACUCAGGGCUAACGCCGAGAAAUCGGUGCUAAUACCGGAUGGUCCCGUAAGGGUAAAGUGUUUACGGUUUGAGAGGUGCCUGCGGCCUAUCAGGUAGUUGGUGAGGUAACGGCUCACCAAGCCUAUGACGGGUAACUGGUCUGAGAGGAUGACCAGUCAGAGGGAACCUGAGACACGGUUCCCACUUCUACGGCAGGCGGCAGUAAAGUAUCUUCCACAAUGGACGAAAGUCUGAUGGAGCGACGCCGCGUGCAGGAUGAAGGCCCUUGGGUCGUAAACUUCUUUUUUGGGGGAAAAAUUCUGACUGUACCCUAAGAAUAAGCACCGGCUAACCACGUG
rnacentral:rRNA from 1 species